ACCUGAUAGACUCGUACAAAUAUUGAUAAGAAUUGAGACAUUCUUAUAACAAUAUAAAUAUCAUCUAAUAAUCACAAUAUAAUCAUCUGUUGAUAUCUAUCUCAUAAUCUCGUCACAUCACAUAUGAUCCAUAAAAAAUGUACCCUCUGACUAAAAUCUGAAAUCCACCCCUCGGGCCAAGUACUUUUGCCACGGGCCUUUGACCCCCCUCCGUAAACGAAAGCGGGUCUUAAAAAUUUCUGAUAAUCAAUUCUAGAAUAUGACCAAGGUCCCUUAGUAAACUAUAUGUACAUGGUCAUGGCUCCCUUCAUCCCUAGUUGACCCCUCAGUGUAGUAUAGAACACAAUUAAGGCCCCUCAGUUAACUAGAAGAAAUAUAUAAUCACGAGUACUUUUCUGGUCGAUCUCAAAAUCACAUAUCAUAUUUCAAUUCACAAUGUACCGUACACAAUCUUUGAAAUC
rnacentral:lncRNA from 1 species